UGGUUCUGGCAUCGAUGAAGAACGCAGCGAAAUGCGAUAAGUAAUGUGAAUUGCAGAAUUCAGUGAAUCAUCGAAUCUUUGAACGCACAUUGCGCCCGCCAGUAUUCUGGCGGGCAUGCCUGUUCGAGCGUCAUUUCAACCCUCAAGCUCCGGCUUGGUGUUGGGGAUCGGCAGCCCGGCUUCGCGCCGACGCCGUCCCCCAAAUGCAGUGGCGGUCACGCUGUAGCUUCCUAUGCGUAGUAGCACACCUCGCACUGGAAAGCAGCGCGGCCACGCCGUAAAACCCCCAACUUUUUGUGGUUGACCUCGAAUCAGGUAGGACUACCCGCUGA
rnacentral:misc_RNA from 1 species